rnacentral:rRNA from 1 species
CCUACGGGUGGCUGCAGUGGGGAAUUUUCCACAAUGGGCGAAAGCCUGAUGGAGCAAUACCGCGUGGGUGAUGACGGUUCGUGGACUGUAAAGCCCUUUUCUUAAGGAAGAAAAAAUGACGGUACUUAAGGAAUAAGCACCGGCUAACUCUGUGCCAGCAGCCGCGGUAAUACAGGGGGUGCAAGCGUUGUCCGGAAUGAUUGGGCGUAAAGCAUCUGUAGGUGGUUUUUAAAGUCAACUGUUAAAUCCCAGAGCUCAACUUUGGACAAGCAGUU